rnacentral:rRNA from 1 species
ACUUGUUAGUUGCCAUCAUUCAGUUGGGCGACUCUAGCGAGACUGCCGGUAUAAACCGGAGGAAGGUGGGGAUGACGUCAAAUCAUCAUGCCCCUUAUGACCUGGGCUACACACGUGCUACAAUGGUUGGUACAACGAGUUGCGAGUCGGUGACGGCGAGCUAAUCUCUUAAAGCCAAUCUCAGUUCGGAUUGUAGGCUGCAACUCGCCUACAUGAAGCCGGAAUCGCUAGUAAUCGCGGAUCAGCAUGCCGCGGUGAAUACGUUCCCGGGCCUU